AAUACGGGUGGAGGAAAAAGCUCUCGUGAGACACACGUGUGUUUGGUGCGCGUGAAGCGAUAGCAACAUGGCUAGCCUCAGCUACGAAGGCUGUAAUUUCCUCAGGCAGAGACUCGUGCUGUCCACGCUGAGUGGGAAAAGGGUGAAAGUACGAAAUAUCCGAUCCAGAGACGACAACCCCGGGCUUCGAGAUUUUGAAGCGAGCUUCAUCAGGCUUCUGGAAAAAGUGACCAACGGCACCAGGAUUGAAAUCAACCAAACGGGAACGGUGUUGUUUUACCAGCCUGGCCUACUGUACGGUGGCUCUGUGGAGCAUGAGUGUAACGUUCAGCGCUCCAUAGGUUACUACCUUGAGGCGCUCAUCAUGCUGGCACCGUUCAUGAAGAGUCCACUCAAAGCCGUAUUAAAGGGGGUGACGAACGACCCGGCGGACCCUUCAGUGGACUUGCUAAAAGCCACCGCAGUUCCUCUGAUGAAGACGUUUGGUAUCGAUGGUGAAGGUCUGGAAAUAAAGGUGGUCAGGAGAGGCAUGGCACCCGGGGGAGGAGGUGAAGUGCAUUUUACGUGUCCUGUACGACGAACCAUCAAACCCGUGCAGCUCACAGAUCCGGGCAAAAUCAAGAGGAUCAGAGGAACAGCAUACUCGGUGCGAGUGUCGCCUCAGAUGGCCAACAGGAUCGUAGAUUCGGCCCGGAGCAUCUUAAACAAAUUUAUUCCAGACAUUUACAUUUACACAGACCACAUGAAAGGAGCCAGUUCGGGGAAGUCUCCGGGGUUUGGCUUGACGUUGGUGGCAGAGACGUUAAACGGGACGUUUCUGAGCGCAGAGAUGGCAUCGACCCCACAGGGACAGGGAGAUCCGGUUCUUCCAGAAGAACUGGGGAAGAACUGUGCCAAACUUCUGCUGGAGGAGAUCUACAGGGUGGGUUGUGCAACUGACUGUGUCUGUCUAAGCAACAGGGUGGCUGUGUGGAUUCGAAUAACCAGAGCUUGGCUCUCUUGUACAUGACGCUUGGCCAGCAAGAUGUGUCCAAAGUUCUUCUAGGUCCCCUUUCUCCAUAUACGAUAGAGUUUCUUCGGCACAUCCGGGACUUUCUUCAGAUCAUGUUCAAGAUCGAGCAGCAGAAAGAAGACGAAGAAGAGCAGAAAGGAGGAGAGAAAGUGCUGAUGACUUGCGUAGGUGCCGGUUACACCAACAUCAGCAAGACGCUGAAAUAGAGACUCCUCUCUGGCUUGCACCACAGCUAUGUCUCAAACUGCGUACUUUACACAUGUUUAGUCCAAGAACACCGGGUUAAUACAAUAAGGUCUAGUGUACACGAGGUAAUAUGUGGCGUAGCACAUUUAAUACAGAAUGUUCUUGUUUGUUUUAUUUGAGAACUUGCUGUUCUACAAGAGUACAUAGUGUACAAAGGUUAUGUUGUAUAAUAUGUUGCUUGAGACAUAGACUCAGAGGUUUUAUACGUGUUUUGGUUGUUUUUUUAUGAGAAAUGUACAGUUAAUGAUACCUUUUACCAAGAAAAAAUAAAAAAAAUCAACCGUG